GUGGGGAAUCUUGCGCAAUGGGCGAAAGCCUGACGCAGCCAUGCCGCGUGAAUGAUGAAGGUCUUAGGAUUGUAAAAUUCUUUCACCGGGGACGAUAAUGACGGUACCCGGAGAAGAAGCCCCGGCUAACUUCGUGCCAGCAGCCGCGGUAAUACGAAGGGGGCUAGCGUUGCUCGGAAUUACUGGGCGUAAAGGGCGCGUAGGCGGACAGUUUAGUCAGAGGUGAAAGCCCAGGGCUCAACCUUGGAAUUGCCUUUGAUACUGGCUGUCUUGAGUACGGGGGAGGUGAGUGGAACUCCGAGUGUAGAGGUGAAAAUCGUAGAUAUUCGGAAGAACACCAGUGGCGAAGGCGACUCACUGGCCCGUUACUGACGCUGAGGCGCGAAAGCGUGGGGAGCAAACAGGAUUAGAAACCCCGGUAGUCC
rnacentral:rRNA from 1 species